rnacentral:rRNA from 1 species
UGAUGAAGGUCUUCGGAUCGUAAAGCUCUGUUGUUAGGGAAGAACAAGUACCGGAGUAACUGCGGGUGCCUUGCCGGUACCUAACCAAAAAGCCCCGGCUAACUUCGUGCCAGCAGCCGCGGUAAUACCUAGGGGGCAAGCGUUGUUCGGAAUUAUUGGGCGUAAAGCGCGCGCAGGUGGUUUCUUAAGUCUGAUGUGAAAGCCCCCGGCUCAACCGGGGAAGGGCAUUGGAAACUGGGGAACUUGAGUGCGGAAAAGGAAAGUGGAAUUUCCCGUGUAGCGGUGAAAUGCGUAAAGAUGUGGAGGAACACCAGUGGCGAAGGCGACUUUCUGGGCCGUUACUGACACUGAGGCGCGAAAGCGUGGGGAGCCAACAGGAUUAGAUACCCUGGUAGUCCACGCCGUAAACGAUGACUGCUAAGUGUUGGAGGGUUUCCGCCCUUUAAUGCUGCACCUAACCCAUUAAUCACUCCCCCUGGGGAGUACCGCCCCAAGGUUUAAACUCAAAGGAAUUGACGGGG